UAAACCUUCUAUGUCCACAUCAUUCAUUUG
rnacentral:piRNA from 1 species